rnacentral:rRNA from 1 species
AGUGAACGCUGGCGGUAGGCCUAACACAUGCAAGUCGAACGGCAGCACAGUAAGAGCUUGCUCUUACGGGUGGCGAGUGGCGGACGGGUGAUGAAUACAUCGGAAUCUACUUUUUCGUGGGGGAUAACGUAGGGAAACUUACGCUAAUACCGCAUACGACCUACGGGUGAAAGCAGGGGAUCUUCGGACCUUGCUCGAUUGAAUGAGCCGAUGUCGGAUUAGCUAGUUGGCGGGGUAAAGGCCCACCAAGGCGACGAUCCGUAGCUGGUCUGAGAGGAUGAUCAGCCACACUGGAACUGAGACAAGGUCAAGACUCCUACGGGAGGCAGCAGUGGGGAAUAUUGGACAAUGGGCGCAAGCCUGAUCCAGCCAUACCGCGUGGGUGAAGAAGGCCUUCGGGUUGUAAAGCCCUUUUGUUGGGAAAGAAAAGCAGCAGGUUAAUACCCCGCUGUUCUGACGGUACCCAAAGAAUAAGCACCGGCUAACUUCGUG